GAUGAACGCUGGCGGUGUGCCUAAUACAUGCAAGUCGAGCGAACAGACGAGGAGCUUGCUCCUCUGACGUUAGCGGCGGACGGGUGAGUAACACGUGGAUAACCUACCUAUAAGACUGGGAUAACUUCGGGAAACCGGAGCUAAUACCGGAUAAUAUAUUGAACCGCAUGGUUCAAUAGUGAAAGACGGUUUUGCUGUCACUUAUAGAUGGAUCCGCGCCGCAUUAGCUAGUUGGUAAGGUAACGGCUUACCAAGGCGACGAUGCGUAGCCGACCUGAGAGGGUGAUCGGCCACACUGGAACUGAGACACGGUCCAGACUCCUACGGGAGGCAGCAGUAGGGAAUCUUCCGCAAUGGGCGAAAGCCUGACGGAGCAACGCCGCGUGAGUGAUGAAGGUCUUCGGAUCGUAAAACUCUGUUAUUAGGGAAGAACAAAUGUGUAAGUAACUAUGCACAUCUUGACGGUACCUAAUCAGAAAGCCACGGCUAACUACGUG
rnacentral:rRNA from 1 species